CUGUCCGAGCGUCAUUUCAACCCUCAAGCACCGCUUGGUCUUGGGCGCGGUCUGGCGACCCGCCCGCAACUCCUAUGGCGGCACUGUCCGGCUCUAAGCGUAGCACGAUCUAUUCACUCGCUUUGGGGCUGCGGCAACGCUGCCACCUAACGCAUCUAGAGUUUGACCUCGGAUCAGGUGGGGAUACCCGCUGAACUUAA
rnacentral:misc_RNA from 1 species